rnacentral:rRNA from 1 species
AGCACAACAACGGGUGGAGCCUGCGGUUUAAUUGGACUCAACGCCGGAAAACUCACCAGGGGAGACAGCAAUAUGUAGGUCAAGCUGAAGACUUUACCUGAAUCGCUGAGAGGAGGUGCAUGGUCGUCGCCAGUUCGUACUGUGAAGCAUCCUGUUAAGUCAGGCAACGAGCGAGACCCGUGCCCACAGUUGCCAGCAUUAUCUCCGGAUAGACGGGUACUCUGUGGGGACCGCUGAUGUGAAAUCAGAGGAAGGUGCGGGCUACGGUAGAUCAGUAUGCCCCGAAUCUCUUGGGCUACACGCGGGCUACAAUGGGCGGGACAAUGGGAUACAAACCCGAAAGGGUACGUAAAUCUCACAAACCCGUUCAAAGUUCGGAUCGAGGGUUGAAACCCACCCUCGUGAAGCUGGAAUCCGUAGUAAUCGCGUUUCAACAUAGCGCGGUGAAUACGUCCCUGCUCCUUGCACACACCGCCCGUCAAACCAUCCGAGUGAGGUAUGGGUGAGGGUAUGGACAUUUAGUGCUGUAUUCAAACCUGAAUUUUGCAAGGA